ACAUUUAUACUUUCAAGUUUCAACGGCAUCAAACCACGUGGCCUUAUGAGCUCUAUAUAAUUGAUCUAUGUGCUUGGCAUACACUUUGGGGAGACAAGGGAGUAUGGAGCUCAUGCUAAUUUAUCCCUCCCUCUUACCUUUAAUUAACUUCAACAACUGCAAGUAUCAAGGUCAAGAUUGAGCACACCAACUUAUGAAAUCAUCAUGUUAUUUUCUCUUUUCUUUUAAAGGUAAGAUUAAUUAAUAUCAUGUAUUAUUAUUAAUUAAUUAUACUAUAGUGGUCAAAUGUAUGUAAGCAGUGCUCACUUCUCGUAACUCUGUCAAGGGCUUUAAUCCCAUGGGAUUAACAAAUUAAUAGAUCCAUAUAGUAUUAUACAUCAAACUGCUUGUACAAGUAUAAAUAUUACUAUUCCUAAUCCUAACUAUAUGGCAUUUUGAUGUGUGUUAAUCUGCUGUAAUUAGAGACACUACUUUGAUGCUUCAAUGGAUUUUGAAUAUGUUGUCAUAUUAAUUAGCUCAUUAAUUAAUUAUAGGAAUACCAGCUAACGAUUGAAUGGUUUCGAUUAUGAGUGAGAUUCUACAUUAUUAAAUUUAAUUUGUAUACAAAGUACAAUAUCCAAGCAAUAAAAUAAGAGUUGGGUG
rnacentral:lncRNA from 1 species